rnacentral:rRNA from 1 species
CAGUCGAGCGGAGAUUAUAGCAAUGUAAUCUUAGCGGCGGACGGGUNNNNNNNNNGUGGGCAACCUACCUCUAACUGGGGGAUAACACAGGGAAACUUGUGCUAAUACCGCAUAACAUCGUGAAAUGACAUCAUUUUAUGAUCAAAGGAGCAAUCCGGUGAGAGAUGGGCCCGCGUCCAAUUAGCUAGUUGGUGAUGUAACGGACCACCAAGGCGACGAUUGGUAGCCGAACUGAGAGGUUGAUCGGCCACAUUGGGACUGAGAUACGGCCCAGGCUCCUACGGGAGGCAGCAGUGGGGAAUAUUGCGCAAUGGGGGGAACCCUGACGCAGCAACGCCGCGUGAAGGAUGAAGGUUUUCGGAUCGUAAACUUCUUUGAUGAGGGGCGAAAAAAAUGACGGUACCUCAAAAACAAGCCACGGCUAACUACGUGCCAGCAGCCGCGGUAAUACGUAGGUGGCGAGCGUUGUCCGGAAUUACUGGGUGUAAAGGGCGUGUAGGCGGGAAUGUAAGUCAGAUGUGAAAUACCGAGGCUUAACUUCGGGACUGCAUCUGAAACUAUGUUUCUUGAGUGUCGGAGAGGAAAGUGGAAUUCCCAGUGUAGCGGUGAAAUGCGUAGAUAUUGGGAGGAACACCAGUGGCGAAGGCGACUUUCUGGACGAUAACUGACGCUGAGGCGCGAAAGCGUGGGGAGCAAACAGGAUUAGAUACCCUGGUAGUCCACGCCGUAAACGAUGGAUACUAGGUGUAGGAGGUAUCNNCCCCU